AGCCGGACGGCCAGUCGCUGGCCGCACCAUUGCGGCGGGAGGAAAGUCCGGGCAACACAGAGCGCCAUACUUCUUAACGGGAAGCUGUCGGCAACGGCAGAGGAAACGUGACAGAAAACAACUGCCUAUCAGUCCCUCACCGGAUUGAGGUAAAGGUGAAAAGGCGGGGUAAGAGCCCACCGGCUCCCACGGUGACAUGGGAGGCCGCACGUCUUAUGGGUUGCAAGGUCAAGUAUACCGGCAUUCAAGGGCUGCUCGUCCAUUGCCGGGGGGUAGACUGCUGAAGCCAUGCGGCGACGCAUGGCGUAGAUAAAUGACUGGCCGUUCCCGAAGGCUUAUGUCCGGAGGGGACGACAGAACCCGGCUUAUAGUCCGGCUCGA
rnacentral:RNase_P_RNA from 1 species